rnacentral:misc_RNA from 1 species
GGGGUGCAAACACUAGUCGGCCUUUGUCCCGAUUGUGGAGUGUUAUGUGCUUGAUGUCCAAGGCUUGAUGCUGAUCCUCCAAGUGGGGCUUGUCCCUGCACCAAUGGCUUUUGCCAGGAUCAUGGCGUUUGUUGUGAUCGAAAAAAUGAGGGGGUGAUGUUGAGGGCCGGAAGGCAAGGGGGUGCAAACACCAGUCGGCCUUUGUCCCGAUUGUUGAGUGUUAUGUGCUUGACGUCCAAGGCUUGAUGCUGACCCUCCAAGUGGGGGCUUUUUUGUUCCUGCGGUAACGACUCUGUUGGGAUCAUUGUGAUCAAGUUUGGUUGGUUUCGUUUUGUGGUGGGUUUUUUCGAAGCUUCUAUCGUUCUUUUACGCAUCGUGCGGUGCAUCUUGGGGGCUGUUUUGGCUUUUGGUUGCUUGCUUGGGCUUUAUGCUAGGCGGGUGGCUAAU